rnacentral:rRNA from 1 species
GCAUAACCGUAAACAUUGAUAUUCAGCUUACCAAAUAUCCGCCUGGGAACUACAAGCAUAAGCUUAAAACCCAAAGGACUUGGCGGUGCUUUAGACCCACCUAGAGGAGCCUGUUCUAGAACUGAUAAUCCCCGUUAAACCUCACCCCUCCUUGCCUUAUCCGCCUAUAUACCGCCGUCGUCAGCCCACCCAAUGAAGGAACAACAGUGGGCAGGAUUGGUAGACCCCAAAACGUCAGGUCGAGGUGUAGUAAAUGGAGGGGGAAGAAAUGGGCUACAUUCGUCUACUCACGAAUACGAAUGAUCUAUUGAAACAUACAUCUAAAGGAGGAUUUAGAAGUAAGAAGGAAGUAGAGCGUCCUUCUGAAACCGGCCCUGAAGCGCG